AAGACUUUACUUUCAGGGGUCAUUUCUAUAGUUUGUUCAGAAGUUUCUCUGAACGUGUAGAGCAAAAAGUCAUUUCUGAUGUUGCAAGCAGUUAAUUGCUCUCCAAGCAUGGCUGUAUCUUUGAAAGGCACAAAAGCAAGUGACAACAGGGGCAA
rnacentral:snoRNA from 1 species